rnacentral:rRNA from 1 species
AUUGAACGCUGGCGGCAUGCCUUACACAUUCAAGUCGAACGGCAGCACGGGAGCAAUCCUGGUGGCGAGUGGCGAACGGGUGAGUAAAGUAUCGGAACGUGCCCAGUCGUGGGGGAUGACGUAGCGAAAGUUACGCUAAUACCGCAUACGAUCUAUGGAUGAAAGCGGGGGAUCGCAAGACCUCGCGCGAUUGGAGCGGCCGAUAUCAGAUUAGGUAGUUGGUGGGGUAAAGGCCCACCAAGCCGACGAUCUGUAGCUGGUCUGAGAGGACGACCAGCCACACUGGGACUGAGACACGGCCCAGACUCCUACGGGAGGCAGCAGUGGGGAAUUUUGGACAAUGGGCGAAAGCCUGAUCCAGCCAUGCCGCGUGCAGGAUGAAGGCCUUCGGGUUGUAAACUGCUUUUGUACGGAACGAAAAGGACUGCCCUAAUACGGUGGUCCCAUGACGGUACCGUAAGAAUAAGCACCGGCUAACUACGUGCCAGCAGCCGCCGUAA